ensembl:lncRNA novel transcript
GAUUCAUCCUCGGCGAGGGGCUCGCGUGUGGGCCACGUCGCCGUCUCCACCGGGAAAGCGGGGACCAGUGGGGGGGGCCCAGCUGCAGGGUAGUGGGAGGAUGCUGUUUGCUUUGGGGGAAGGGUAGAUGCAAAGUGGGUCCAGUUUAUGGCGGACAAAAAGGAAAAUGGGGUGAAUGGGGCUAUGUUGGCAGGGACCGUCCUUCCUGCCUCCCUACGGGUCCCUCUGCCCGUCCCGAGCGUGUUCCGGUCCGCACCUCUUCGCUGUGUGGGCUUCUGGGGAGGGGAAAGGGAAGCUACGCUCGGAUGAAGAGACCGAGGUCUAGGUGGACCCCGUUUCCCCAGCUUGUUCCCUUCCGCACCUCUCCGCGGUGCGGGCUUCUGGGAUGAAGACACUGAAGUCUAGGUGGGCCCAGUUUCCCCAGAUUGUCGCUGACUGCACCUCUCGCUUCUGGGAUGAAGAGACUGAGGUCUAGGUGGACCCAGUUUCCCCAGCUUGUUCCUGACUGCACCUCUCUGCUGUGUGGACUUCUGGAGAGGGGGAAAGGGGGAGACACUGUGGGUGAGGAGCCUGAGAUCCAGGUGGAAUCAGUUCCCCAGCGUCUCCCUGUCCGCACUGAUCCCGCUAUGUGGGUUUCUAGGAAGGGGGAGCCACUCUGGGGGUGAGGAGAGUGAGGUCCAGGUGGACCUGGGCCUCCCUUAUCCGACGGCCUCCUCGGGCCGGUCUUCGCCCACCAGGGUGAGCUGAAAGCCACUAUCUCCUUCCACCAGCUACUAAAAAUACCCGCACGCUGCCCACCUCCCGGCGGGGAGAGGCCUGGGGCGGGCGCCAGCCCCAUCCAGCCCGAAGCCGGCGCCUGCUGGUGUAGAGCUGGGUCCCCAGAGACCUGGGUCCUCGGCCCAUAAAAGCCCUGGCCGGGCCUCCACGGGGGGGAUUUACGACGAGCCCCUGCGGA